rnacentral:lncRNA from 1 species
AAAGAUUCUAAUCAAUUUUCUUUGAAAAAUUCAGCACAGAUAAAUUCCUAGCAAACACUUUGUUUCUGUAGAAUUAACAUUUUCUGGUGAAAAACUGCCCAAUUUCUGUGAUCAGCUCUGAUUUGUUUUCUUCAGUCAUCAACUCCCGGCAACAAAAAGUUUUUUACACUUGAAAUUUAUCACUUGAUCUCCUGAUGGGAGAAUCUGAGGGAAGAUCGAGGGCAAAGGAACAAGCCUGUAGAUUUCUACCUACACUUCUCCCUGGGGACAACUGAACUUCAAGACACCAGAAGUGACACAUCCUCAGGAUCUUUCAGGACUAUGUCCACAUUUCCUCAGGAAUCCUUUAAGAGGGCAGCUGGCAUCAGCCAGCUCAGUUCCUGUGGUCAGCGAGCUGGUUCGGGAGUCCGUGCGUUGCAGAAUUGUAAUGAGCAGCGUCACCUUGUUGCCCUCUUCUGAUGGAAAGGCUGCUUCAUCCCUGUCUCAGUGACAUCUAGGAGAAACACCCCCACGUGCAGCUUCACACAGGACAGCUGUGGCUCCCCAGAGCCCCCUUUGCCCGCUGUGCUCUUUUCCGGGAGAGGCUGAGAGAGAGCGGUCUUAGACUUGGAAGAAGGUAAUUUGAAUUGGAUGUGAAGUUGUUACUAAUAUAAUGUU